rnacentral:rRNA from 1 species
UACGUAGGGAGCAAGCGUUGUCCGGAAUCAUUGGGCGUAAAGCGCGCGUAGGUGGUCUCGUAAGUCCGCUGUGAAAGUCAAAGGCUCAACCUUUGAAAGCCGGUGGAUACUGUGGGACUAGAGUGCGGAAGAGGCGAGUGGAAUUCCUGGUGUAGCGGUGAAAUGCGCAGAUAUCAGGAGGAACACCGAUUGCGAAGGCAGCUCGCUGGGACGUUACUGACGCUGAGACGCGAAAGCGUGGGGAGCAAACAGG